rnacentral:lncRNA from 1 species
AAAAACCUCCUCCCAUGCCAAAAGGAGGAGUGAUGACAUUGUUGGCGCAUAAAUACAAUCAUAUUUUCAUUCAAUAGAUUCAUGUUAAAUGUUUGUUUUUCCAAUUAUUUUCCCUUUUUGUUUUUUACAUGAAACUAGUGAUCAUAUAAAACCUAAAAAAAAUAAGAAUAAAAUCAAUCUUUUCAUCUGCAUAAUGAUUGCCUUGUUUGAAUUCUAAAGCUUUUCAUAUCCAAAAUCAUUAUGCAGGUUAAUCAAACCCAUUGAACAUAAUGACCCAACACCAUCUCCCAAUAAUCUUUUCAUCUGCAUAAUGAUUGCCUUGUUUGAAUUCUAAAGCUUUUCAUAUCCAAAAUCAUUAUGCAGGUUAAUCAAAC